CCUACGGGGGGCUGCAGUGGGGAAUAUUGGACAAUGGGCGAAAGCCUGAUCCAGCCAUGCCGCGUGUGUGAAGAAGGCCUUCGGGUUGUAAAGCACUUUCAGUGGGGAAGAAAGCCUUGGGGCUAAUACCCUCGAGGAAGGACAUCACCCACAGAAGAAGCACCGGCUAACUCCGUGCCAGCAGCCGCGGUAAUACGGAGGGUGCGAGCGUUAAUCGGAAUUACUGGGCGUAAAGCGCGCGUAGGCGGUCUGAUAAGCCGGUUGUGAAAGCCCCGGGCUCAACCUUGGAACGGCAUCCGGAACUGUCAGGCUAGAGUGCAGGAGAGGAAGGUAGAAUUCCCGGUGUAGCGGUGAAAUGCGUAGAGAUCGGGAGGAAUAACAGUGGCGAAGGCGGCCUUCUGGACUGACACUGACGCUGAGGUGCGAAAGCGUGGGUAGCAAACAGGAUUAGAUACCCGGGUAGUC
rnacentral:rRNA from 1 species